GUAUCGUGUGUUUAUUUCUGCCUCAUCCUGGGGGGAAGAGUGAUACGAUUUCAGGUGCUUAAUAAGGUACUCAGUAACUGUUGAAGUUAUGUUUGGGUUGCAUAACCACGCUGAGGGUAACAUGGGUGAAAACAUAAAACUUAGAAGCUGUAGGAUUUCAGUGGAAGCUGUAGCAAGUAUUCAGCUCAGUGGUAGUCCUAUAAGGGUACAGAUGGUCGCUGUAAUUACUGUGCAGAUAUAAUUGCCAUUAAUCAUGUAGGUAACCAAUAGGUUUGGGACUACACCCAGCUAGGUUAGAGAUAGUAGUUAUCUGAAUUUGCAUUAACCUAAAAGAGAAGGUGAGGAUAAAGAUGGCGUGUGUCCCUUUGUAGUCAGGCAUUUCCAUGUGCCUUCCCUAGAGCACAUUUUAGCAUUCUGCUUACUUAAUUUUCAUUACAAAUAAGUAUUAUCGAUUCAGCAAGUAUGCAUAAAUAUGCAGCGUUCUGUGUUGAUGUAUUCCUUUUUAUAACAUCUCUUCUAGGAAGGAAGAAAAAAGAGGCCUCAAGAUGUGUGUUUUAUGCAAAAGAGACAGAGGGGCAAAUAUCCCACAAAGUAAAUCCACCCGUGUCGGAUGAGGGUCUGGUGAGUGGGAAUAAAGAGUGGGACCCAAGACAACAGGAAGUCUCUGAGUCUCCCUUCUGUGUGGUUUAGCUCCGCGUCUGGGGUCUGGAAAACGGCUCGUUGUAGCAGUGUGCUUGCCCAUGUGGUGAGGAAACCAAACCUCCAGAGUACACAACAGUUUCCUCUACUCCAUGCCCUCUGCUCCAAGGAGGAGCUGGCAUUACUGAGGGACAAUGCCUUUGCUUGUGGCCUCUCUCCCAGGGAUGAGAACUGGUCAGGUUUGAGAAACCUACUGAACCUUGAUGUCCAGUGGUGGAGCCCUCAGCAAAGGCGUAAGAAAGCAAGCCUCUGUCCUUUUGCGAAGAAGUUCGGUAAUCUCUCUCUUCUUCCUCCCCCUCUCCCCCUCCCCCUCCCUUUCCUCCUUCCCCUCUUCCUGUUUCUGUCCUUCUCCCUCUCUUCUACCCUCUCUCAGUCUCUCCUCGCCUGUUUUUCUCCCUGCUGUAUCUGAAACAAGUGCCACUUGUCACACACACACACACACACACACACACACACACACACACACACACACACACAAUGUUCAAGCCUAUUCAUAGGAAAAUGAGGCAGACCCAGGGAUCAUUAUAGCCUCAGUCAGGCCUACCAAUCAGAGGCCACGCCCUCUUCUUGUCACUUCAAACUGUUCUAGAAAUAACCUUUGUUGGAUGGUAGAGAUGAAACCCAAGCUGCAGGUGCAGGCCUGGCGGCAGGAAGCAGCGGGCUCCCUAGGUUGCAUGGUUCUAACUGUGCAAGGCUGCUGAUGGGCAGCCUUCCCCUUCAUCAGAUCUACCUAGGAGAUGUUCUCCUGUACUGGGAAGACUGACUACAGUGGCCCGCUUUCCAAUGUCUUUCUGUUGUCCUCUGCCUUCCCUCCUGUGACUAUAAACAAACUGUCCUUGCUCUGGGCUGGGCUCGUGAAUCAGGGGUAGAGGGCAAGCUUAGGGUGGAGGCAUCCCUGGGUUCAACCUUUAGCACCAAUAAACAAAUACAUCUUUCCCUGCUGUAUCUCAGUCAAAUGCCACUUGUGGACACAGCCUCAUUUCCUCAUUCAUUCAAGAGCAUCUUUCUACAAAACUUCUCCCCUCUCCCUCGAACAGUUUUAAAAAUGGUUUAAGGGCUGGCAAGGUGGCUCAGCAGGGGGAGACUACUGCCAAGCCUAGGAACCUGCAUUUGAUCCCCGGAGCCUGCUCAGUAGGAGGAGAAAACCGACUCCAGGAAGUUGUCCUGUGACCUACAUGCUUGCUCCUCUCCCCCAGUAAAGAAAUGUAAUAAAGAAUUUCAAUGUUUUAAUGUCGAUGGCCAUCCAAAAGGAAAUCUAGAGCUAGGCAUGGUAUCUCAGGCCUGCAGUCCCAGAACCAGAGAGGUAGAGGCAGGAAGACCAAGACUUCAAGGCCAUUGGUUAUCAAAGGAGUUUGAGGCCAAGUGAGGCUACGUGAGACCCUGUCUAAAAGGAAAAACAAAUAUCAAAUCCAAAGCAGAACAAAGAAUACCCUUUGACGUUUCUCUAGCUAUUUUGCCCCUCUCUUCAAUCCUUCACGAUGACGUCUUCUCCUCCACUCUCUUUUUAACCCACUCCUGUUAUCUGAGUGAAGGAUGGCCAGUGGCCGCUGUAUUUUUAAAGCUAAUGAUCUGUUCUCCAGCUUUAAGUAUAGUCCAUCAUUCCUUUAAAAUAUUUUCUUUUUUCUCUCAGGACCCCUCUGAUUUGAUCCAAUCUUACUGGCUUUUCAGGGAACAGUACAUGCCAGCUGGUUAACCCAGCAGAGAGCGUACAAAAUAAAAAAUGCUAAAGGCAUUUCCAGCAAACUCAGAUAGGACAAAGAUGCUAUCAUUGUUAUUAAUAUUGUUUUAGAGAUUAAAUUAAGCAACAAGGUAUGAAAAGUAAGUAAUAGAUAUGAAUACUAAAAAGAAGCAAAUACAGGUCUUGUGUAUACUGUUAAGUGUCUCUUGUAUAAUAUUAGAGGGACCAGUCUUAAUAGUAUACAUCCCAGGGGCUCAGGAGAGAGAACUACUAACGGCGAGGACUAUUUUCGGGAAAUAGAAUCUCAGCACACUGAGCUCUAUAGUCUACUUGCUUUAAUUCCUCUGAUAUAACAUCCUAUAUACACAGCUUCAGUUCUGUUCUUGUGCCUAGCUCCUUUCUUGCCUGAUUUCUCUCUCUAUUUAUCUACUGUUCCCUCUAAGUUCUAUCUUAAUUCUCUCGUCUUAAUUCUGCCUCAUCUAGGUCCUUUUCAUCUUGUUCUUACCCAGCUAGGACUUCCCCAUCUGACUCUUCCUCAUCUUCCAUCUUGUCCACAGGUACUCUCCUUCUCUCUCUCCGUCUCUCCUUUCUUUAUGUUCCUCCUAAGUCUCCCAGGAAUCCAGUUGUAAACCCAAGCAAUGGCAAGCCCCUGGUUGAGCAAGGUCACCAGGCUUGAAAUCUACAGGGUCAUAAAGGCAGGUAAGAAUUUUCCUCAGGCCGUGACCACCAGGCUUCCAGGGUCAAAUGGAGGGGUGAUAAGAAUCACAUAGAGGGACAGUAAUUGUUAAUUAUCAUUUGCAACUCAAAAGGGAAGUGACUAAUGGGGAAAUGAAUUAACUAAAGGCCAAAUUUGGGUAAUAUCUAAGAAGAGGGAUCUUAUAUGCUCCACUAUAGUCUUAAAUGUGAUUGGUAGAAAAUGUUAAGAACCUGUAAGUUGCAGCCGGGUGGUGGUGGUGCCCACCACCCUUUAAUCCCAGCACUCGGGAGGCAGAGCCAGGUGGAUCUCUGUGAGUUUGAGGCUAGCCUGGUCUACAGAGCGAGAUCCAGGACAGGCACCAAAGCUACACAGAGAGACCCUGUCUCGAAAAACAAACAAACAAAAAGAAUCUGUAAGUUGCUAGGUCAAUGGGAGAAAAUAAAACUGCCCCCUUUUUUCCUGUGGCUCCUAUCUGUCCAAGCUAUCUGCCGUUUUUCUGCAGGGUGGGGGAAAGUGUGCUCAGUCGCUAGGCAACCUGUGCACAGCUAGAUGCCUCAGGUGAUAGUUAAAGGGAGAUCUGGAACUAGAGGUAAGAUUUGGGAAAGGAGGAAGUAAAGCUUAAUUGGCACAUCCACCAGGCUUUCUCAAACAGGUAGUCUGGACACUUAAGUCUGUUCUUAGAGAGUACAGAGGUAUCUCUGAUAAGGUACUUUCCUCCUUCUGGGGAUGGACCUGGCCGGAUGCUGCCAAUGAUGAUAAUUACAAGGAGGCUUGAACUGAGGUUCUGGCUGUGCAUAGCUGUCAGCGCACAAGGUUAUGUAAAUAUUCCUUUAGUAGAGGGGAAAUGGUGCCCAAUAAAUGAUGGAAAAGCUACAAUAGCACACAAGAAACUCAUAGAGGAAAUGGCUGGUAAUCAAAAGCCAAAUAUCACCAAGGCUCCUUGAACCUUAGCUUGGCCUCUGGAAGGCCCUUGGCUACUUCCAGGUAUUAGCUUUGUCAUCAUCAGCUGAAAUCCUACUUGUAUAUUUUUGCGGCUUGCAACAAGUGUCCAGCUAAAACUUAGGACGCUGUUUUUGUUUUUAAAUGCUACUAGAGAAACUGCUGGAUGGUUCGGUAGGUAAAGGCACCUGAUGCCAAGCAUGUGACUUGAGCUCAACCACUAGGAUCCCCUUAAAUGGAAGGAGAAAAUGAGCAGCUUUAAGUUGCCCUGUGACCUUCACAUGCAUACACUAGUGUGCACACACAUGCAUACAUUAUAGAAUAUUUGUUAAAGCUGUAAAGAUGUGUCUCUGUCUAAGGUGCCUUCUGGUUGAUUUAAUAAAGAGCUGAAUGGCCAACAGCAAGGCAGGAGAGAAUAGGCGGGACUUCCGGGCACAUAGAGAGAGAAACUAGGAGGAGGAAUCUAGGCACAGGAUUUUGCCAGCAGACCCGGAGCAAGUCAGACGUGCUAUACUAAGAAGAGGUAACCGAGCCAUGUGGCAGAACGUAGAUUAAAAAAAAAAUUACGGGUUCAUUAAGUUAUAAGAGCUCGUUUGAAAAAAGCCUAAACUAAGGCCAAAUUUCAUAAUUAAUAAGUCAUCUCUGGGUCAUUGUUGCGGGCUGGCUGUCCAAAGAUAGCCUGACAAGAAAGCUUGCCACACACACACACAAUAUAUAUAUGCAUAUAGUAUAACAUUAUAAAUUAUAAUUGCUACUAGGACCACCAGCCAUGGUAGUACAUGCCUGUAAUCUCAGCACUUGGAAGGCUGAGGCAGGAGGAUUGGGAGUUUGAGGCUGGCCUGGGCUACAUAGUGAGACUAUCCUAAAACAAUGUAAGGACUUCUGGGUAAGAUGACAACUAGAAGCUGCCUCUGCGUGAGCCAACAAAAGAGACAGUUCAGAAUAAGAAACUUCAUCUCCACAAGAGAAAUCAAGGAAGAAGAGCCUCAGAAAUGCACACAGUGAAGUGGUCAAAGAUACAACACACAGAGCCGCAAGCUGAACAUGGCCCCUCAUGGAGGGGGAGGCUGAAGAUGCUUCUAAAAGGUAAGCCAGACGGAAAUGGCCAGCCUCGCCCUCAGCACAAACCCACAGCCCUUAGGAGCCUCCAGUCCGGCUGUAGGCUUUGGUGAGACAGUAGUUCCUCUGGCGGGCAGGUCAGUGAUGGAGAGAAAUCCCAUUUUGUCAUACUGUGUGAUUAGGGCAGCCAAAGUCAGGCGCCACCUGGACAGAGACCCGUUGGUUAAAAGCUGAGCUACCCUGGGCCUGAGGUCGGGAGCAUCCACAGACCAGGGAGCCUCGGGUUAGUCCGUUAUAAUCCUUCAUGAGGGAAGACCCACACGGGCAAUUGUGAUGAAGCCAGGCCUCGUGGGACAAAGAGCGCAAGAGGCAGGAGGCUGGCUGAGGUUGACAAGUGCCUAAGGAGAAAUGGCCCUGCCCUUGGUGAGGGAAAUGGAUCUUCUCUACUGAAAACUAACCUGGAAGUCUGAGAAUUGUCAGACUGAGGUCAUCUCCUCCAGCUCCCCAGGGUUUUACUCUGCGUUUAACAGGAUUUCUACAUUUUUUCCCCUUAUUUUAAGUUGUUUAUAUUUUUAGUUGUUAUUCUCCUUUAUCUCAUUUGUUUAUACUUUUUUUCCAUUUGUGGUCAAUAUUUUUUGUUUUCCUUUCUUGGCAUAUUUCCUUGUUAUUAGCUUCUAUACAUUUAGUGGUAUCUAUUUACUUUACCUUAAUUUUUAAAAUAAUCUUAUAUUUAUGUUUCUUAUUGCUCUGAUUUUGGUUUUGAACUUUUUAAUUAUUGGGAAAUCCUUGUUGUUGCCUCCCCCCCCCCCAUCUUUUCUCUGGCCUCCUCUUCUUUUCUUAACAUUCCUUUCUACUCUUUUUUGUUUCCUUCCUUCAUCUCACUUAUUUGCUGUUUUCACACUCACCCUAAUUAACUGUGAGCCUCAGAGUACAUUUUCACACGAGUUUUCCCAUUUUCAGUUGUCUGGUCCCUGGAAUAUAUUACUGAGCUGUCACUGACUCUUGUUUUCUGAACAAUUCUAUAUAUUGUAUGGUUUUGUGUUGACGGUGGUCUAGUAGUUUGUUUUCCCUUUGCUGAGAGGUAGUAGGAGUUCAGCUUUCAAGAGCAGGCUGUCAAUAAGAAGCCCACCGCCACCACAAACAAGCCAGAAAAGGCAUCCAGAGCAACAGAUGUGCAAAUCUCAAUACAAAGUACAAGAAGCGUGAAAAAGCAAGGUGACUCCAAGCAAGCACAGCUCACAGAUACAAAAAUGACUGAAAGACAAGAGAAGAUAGUCCUGGUGAUGAGGAAGAGUGUGGAUGGGCAAAAGGACAUAUGAAGAGGCAAGGAAUCUGAGGAAUGAGGUCAAGGGGGAACAAGAGAGAUGCUGGAUAUCAUAAUGGUACCUAUGGUGGUUUGGAUGCGAAUGGCCCCCAUAGGCUCAUAUGUCUGAAUGCUUGGCCCCCAGGUUGUGGAACUGUUUGGGAAGGACUAGGAGGUGCAGACUUGUUAGAGCAGAUCAAGCUGUAAGCUCUCAGCUGUUCCUGCUGACGCCUUUGCUCUGCCGUCAUGGACUGGAGCCCUCUGAAACCGCGAGCCCAAUUAAAUUCUUUCUCCCAAAUUGCCUUUAGUCAUGGUGUUUUGUCACAGCAUUAGAAAAGUAACUAAGACAGUAUCUAGGCCGGGCAGUGGUGGCACACACCUUUAAUCCCAGCACUCAGGAAGCAGAGGCAGGCAGAUCUCUGAGUUGAGGCCAGCCUGGUCAGCAUAACAAGUUCCAGGACAGCCAAGGCUACACAGAGAAACCUUGUCUGGGGUACGGAGGGGUAGAGAAAAAAAAAGACAGUAUCUAAUACAUUAUAUGUCAAUUUUUAAAAAUUAAAAAAAUAUAUCUUUAUAAAAAAUUUUUAAAGUUUUUGGUAGAAAUGAUCAGUGUCCUGAAAGAGGAUUCAAAUCAGUUAAUGAGUAUAGUCCAGAACUGGAGAGGAAAGUCAGGAACAUAGAAGGAAAAGUCAGAAAAAAUGAAUGAGAAAAAUCAAUAAUGUGAAUGGAAAAGUCAACAAUGCAAAAGAAAAAUUCUGCAAAGGAAUUGAGAUUUUAAAAAAUAAAGAGAUGUUGGAAAUGAAAACCUCAAUGAAUUGAACAAAGCCACAGUGGGCAGCAUCACUAACAGACAUGAGCAAGCAGAAGAAGGAAUAUCAGAGAUAGGAGAAGAGGUUGAUGAAUGCUGCAUUCCGGGCAUCAACGGUAGGGGAGGGGGAGGUAAACGAGCAUGAUUACAAAAUCCAGGAACUCUGGGAUGCAGGCAAGAGAGCAAACCUAAGAAUCCAUAGGAUACAAGAAGAAGCUGAGAUAAACAUUAAAAACCCAAACCUAGAGACAGAUGUUCAAAAGAAAUAUUUAGAACCCCAAACCACCAAAGUAGACAUGACCAGAGAAGAACCUCUCUGUUAUAUAAGACGCAAAGAUGUUUAAAAAAAAUGCAAAGCAAUAAAACAAUGUUAAAAGCUUUAAGAGAAGAGCCAGGUAUGAUAGCAUAGGCUUUUAAAUCCUAGCACUUGGGAGGAAGAGACUGGCAGGUCUCUGUGAAGUCAAGGCCAGCCUGGUCUACAGAAUGAGUUCCAAGCCAGUCAGAAAUACAGAGUGAGACCCUGUCCCCAAAAACAAACAGUUUUAAGAGAAAUUAUGGAAUCAUCUACAAAGGCAAAACAUCAGAGUAAUAUCAGAACUGUAAUUAGCCACUUCAGAAAUUAUUGAAUGGCAUACUUCAGGCCUUGACAGUAACUGCCAACCAAGAUUGCUCCAUCCUGCAAAGCUAUCUUUUAAAGUUGUUGGAGAGAUAAAGACAUUUCAAACCAAGAACAAACUAAGGCAGGUCAUGACUACUGAGCCAGUAGAUAUUCAAAGGAAUACUCUGUACACAGAGAAGACAGACAGAAAGUCUCCACUGCUAGGGGUAUAAGAAAGAAUAACAAAGGAGGGUAGGAAGGAAUCUAAUACCCUAGCAUAAUAAGUCUGAAAUCCCCAAACAGUGGUAGGGAGAGAGUGAAGAACAGACAACCAACCCAAUCAAUCAAAUGAGCAACCAACAAAAUUAUAGAAAUUAGUAAACAUCUUUCAUUAACACCCCUAAAUGCAAAUGGCUUCGACUUGCCAAUAAAAUAAAACAAACAGGCUUGGCUAACUGAAUUUUAAAAAAUAAAUAGAACAACACACCUACAUCCAACUCUCUAUUGUCUCCAAGAAACAAGAAACAUACCUCACUAGUAAAGACAUCUGCAGACGGAGCAUCAAUAAUGAAAAACAACCUGUCAAGUGAAUGGAAACCAAAACUAAGCUGGUGUUGCUGUUCUGUUGCUGUUCCAAUGGAGUUGAUUUAAGAGGAAAUUUUAUAGCUGUGAGUACUUACAAAGAAAGAUCCCAUGGUGCACUUCAAGGUCUGAGAAAAACAAGAACAAUCCAAACUCAAAAGAAGCAGAUGGCAAGAAAUAAUAAAUAUCAAGGAAGAAAUUAAUUUAAAAUGUAUUGAGGCUGAUAGAACAAUACAUAAAAUCAAACAAAUAAACAGUUGGUUUUUUAAAAAACUCAAUAAGAUUGCUAAGUCUCUAGUCAAACUAACUAAAUAGAAAAAGGAAAGAUCCAAAUUCAUAAAAUAACAUGAAAAAGAAGUUACUAUAGAUUUUAAUUAAAUCCAGAGACUAAUUAUGGAAUAUGGUAAUGUAUACCCCCAAAAUCCUGGAAAAACUAGAAGAAAUAGAUAAAUUCCUAGACAAAUAUGACCUAAUGAAACUAAAUCAAGACAGUAUUAACAACUUCAGCAUAUCCAAAGCAAUCAAUGAGAUUGAAGUAGCAAUUUAAAAAAAAAAAUUCAGGGCCAGAAGGAUUCUCUGACAACUUCUAUAAAAUCUGUAACUAAAAGCUAAUACCAGUGCUCCUGAAACCAUUCCAUAAAAUAGAAAAGGAAGGCACACAUCCUACCAGGUCAGCAGUACUCCAAUACUAAAGCCAGAUAAGGACACAAAAAGGAAAGGAAGCUGUAGGCCAACCUCCUUGGUGGCAUAAUCCCAGUGUUUGGGAGGCAGAGACAGGUGGAUCUCUGUGAGUUGGAGGCCAGCCUGGUCUACAGAGCAAGUUCCAGGAUAGCCAGGGCUACACAGAAAAACCCUGUCUCAGAACAACCUCUCCACCCCCACAAAUUCUCAGUAUACAUUUUGCAAGCCUAAUUCAAGAAAACAUUAAGAAGAUUGUGUACAGUGACCAAGGAGGUUUCCUUCUAAUAAGGCAAAGUUGGUUCAAGAUAAGCAAACCAGUAAGUGUAAUUUAGCACAUAAAUAGACUUCAGGCCAGACAUCAUAUGAUCAUCUCACUUGAUACAGAAAAUGCCUUCAAUAAACAUUAACAUCCAUCAUGAUAAAAAGCCCUGAGGAAGCUAAGAGUAGAGGCAAUAUAUUUCAGCAUAAUAAAGGCUAUAUACAAGAAACCCAUAGCCAACAAAUGGGGAAACUGAGAACGUUUCUCUAAAAUUUGCAAUGAGACAAAAGUAUACCCUUUCUACGUUCUUGUUCAUUAUAGUGUUCAAAGUGUUAGCUAGACCAGUAAGACAAGAGAAAGAAAUAAAACAGAUGCAAGUAAGAAAGGUAGAAAUCAAAUCAUGUGUUUAGUAUCCCAUGUUUAUUUCAAACUGUUGGCAGAAAUAAGAGUGGUGUAAAAGCCCCUGUACUGUACUCAAACUGUGCAGUUAAUUCUGAACCCAAAAGCCCACUUCUGCCCUAAAAUAUGAACAACCACAGACAUUAAACCUGGACAAAACAUGAUGCUAAGAAAGUGACCUCAACACUGUUAACUAAGAUGAGACCAAAAAGUAAUGUACAGAGAGUAUGUUGCAACUCAGUUGUACUCAAGUUCCUCACAGUUUUCCGAUUUUUUUGCUGAGAACAAUGUCUGGUUAGAAUUUUUAAACAAGUUGGGAUAUAAAGAAUUGAAAACGUCCCAGAUCUUCCUGAGACAAACAGGAGAAAGGCAAUAAAAAGUUCUGGUUAGUUCCCAGUUUGUGCUGCCUACCUGACAGAGUUCCUUUGCUGUCCCUGUCUGCAGCCCUGGAUCGGGAAUGUGGGUGUGUUUGCAUCAGGGAAAGCCAAAGGCUCCCUACAGGUUUAGGAACCACUAGAGAAUACCAAUGAGUUUCAGACAACUGAACUUAACUUCAUGUUUUAUUUUUUUUUAAUAUUUAGUGCCAUCUAUGAAAUUCUGUUUUUAAAAGGCAGAAAGGUAUUUUUUGGUUGACUCUGAAGUGUUGGCAUCCAAUCAGAAACACGGGGCGCUGUUGCUAGCUCCAGGCCGGAAAGCCCCUUUCCGAGCUUCUUGGCUGUGUACAGACAGAGUGGAUCUCUUUGGCUGUGUGCUGAGUGCGCCUCAUCUCAAAUCCUUAAACAUUCAGUCGAAUCAACAACAGAGAGCUAUUGGAAUAACCACGUAAUGUUAAUAGUCAUUGCUAAUAAAUGCAACAGUUUUCAAAAUUUAAAAAAAGAAUGACAUAAAUAGGUGAAUGCAAGUGCUAUUAGGAUUCCUACGAGACUCUGGCUAGAAAUACCAGAAAGAAUAACCUCAAAAGUGGAUUUGAAAAGAAUCAAAUCUGUUGAAAAACUGAUUCCAGAAGAGAGAAAGUCUUACAGUCUCAUCAAUGAAAAUGAUUAGAGAGGUAUAGAUAAACAUUCUGAAAAUUAUCAAAGAAAAUUGAGCACAAUUAAGUACUAAGACUUUAGAGCCAUUGUAUCCAUUCAUUCAUUCAUCCAUCCAUUCACUCAUCCAUUUUGAGGCAGGGUCUCACUCUAUUACCCAGGCUGACUUGGAUUCCUCAUCCCUCAGGCUCCUGAACAGCGGGGACUACAUGUGCACGUUGUCAACGGUGGCCCUGGUUUUGUUGUUGUUGUUUUUCUAGCUUUUUUUUAAAUUAUCUCUUAUUUUUGAGAUUACAACAUGUCCUCCUUCCCUUUCCUCCUCCCAAACCGUCCCAUUUACUUCUUGCUGUCUUUCAAAUCCAUGGGCUCUUUUCACUUAUCGUUUUUUUGGAGUUCUUAGGACUAUGGGAGUCCUCUCAAAUUCAUCUUUACACAGAUGUUUGGCACUGUUUCCUCUGCGUUAGUUUACUUUUCUAGUUGUCAUAGAAAUACCAACGUUGAAGUAUUUAUUUUGGUCACGGUGUGGUACCGUAUAGGCCAUCAUGGCAGAAAGCAUGACAUCUGAAGUGACUGGGUCCAUAGCAGUGAAAGCGUGAGGCAGCUUGUGCAUAUCUUAACAGAUGAGGGAGUGGGAGCCUCUGUCACCUCUGGGGUAGUCAUACCCUCUAGCCUUCCCCCUUUUGCCUUACAUCUGACAGUUAUGUCCAAACACAACAAUGCUACCAGCUAGGGACUGAAUAUUCAAACACAUGAGCCUGUGGGGGACAUUUGGUUAUUCAAAUCAUGACACGAUACAAGGUCUACAGGGAGUAUAUCUGUGCAGCCAAGUAGCAUCUUCCAGGACUGCUUGUCACCAGCAUCAUUCAGGGAUACCAAUAUCAUGUCCCUUCCAACUGUUGUGGACCCUGAUAGCUGAUAGGUUUCAGUUUAAGUUCCCCCAUGUCUUGGAGGCAGGUUCACUCAGGUAACAAAUACCUAGAUCCGACUUUGGUGCUCACAUGGUUCCCAGAGAAAGGGCAAAACUUUCAACCUGCCAGCUGGCCAAAAGUUUCUUAGCUAACUUGGGCCAUCCAAAUGCUUUGUCUUUCAAUAAGACCUCACCAAAACUCUUAAGUGCAUGGCCCUAGUUAGUCCAGACCUCACCUAGCCCUGUUUUUCAAACCAUAAAUCAUAACUCACAAAAUCAGAGAGAAAAAUUGCAUUUCUGAAAUGAGAUAACAGAGCAUAUCACAGUUCAUUGUAAUAAGAUCGUCAUUGAAUGACAUUGUACUACCCAGUAUAUGGGAGGCUGGGGUAGGGUGCUUAUGUGCAUGCACAUGGGGGCAGCAUUACAUGAUUUUCUUAAUUAUGGUCAUGAUCCAAAAGUGUUAAGGAAUUCACUGCCUUCUACUUCCUUAUUUUAGCGCUGCAGAAACUCAAACUUCCUGAGAUCUGACUUUUCUCUUUUGCCUCAUUUCUUGUCUCCAGGUCAGUCUCAUUUGUCUCUUGAUUUGUUAAACUAUCCUGUUCCUCUCAUACAAACAAUUCCAUGUUAUUAGAAUGUAUUUGAGUCUCUCCCCUAAUAAAGGGGCUUAGCUUGAGUUUUUCUCCACCGGCUUAUUCUUACAAAACAUCCAUUGGUUUGCUGAAUAGCCCGUGUCUAUAAGGACAUACAGUUCAUUAAUUUCAUUCUUAAACUCCAAAAGCCCUCAUUCAGCAUGCAUUAUUGUUCUAGAUGCCUGACUUACCGUUGGCCAUUGUAUCUAGAGGUCUAGGAAUGAUCUAAUAUCGUCCCUAUCAAUCAGUUGAGUGCUUAGAAUGAUGUUUUGUAUUUGUACCUUGAUGGUUACAGCCCACUAGACAAGGACUGUCAGUUGUGUCCUGAUUGUUUUGUGAUGGGGUCUCCCUAUGUAGUCUAGGCUAAGCUUGAAUUUGUGACACUCUUCCCUCAACGCUCCCCACCCGCAGUGCUGGGAUUAGGUCCUUCAUGGUCAUGCCGGACUCUUGCCUAACUUUUAAAAAUCGGUCUCUGUGUCAUCUUCCUGCUCUGCUUCCUCUCUCCACCUGGAAGCCAGCAGCAUCAUCGUCCCAGACUUUCUAAACAUGGGUGUGGGUUUGUUAGUAUGGAAGGCAGUUUCUUUCUAUCUCUAUAAAUGUUCAAUAAAUGUGCGAUUGGA